AUGCUCUGUAGUUGAAAGGUCCGCCGCCUUAGGAUGGGUCUGCGGCCGAUUAGGUUGUUGUUGGGGUAACGGCCCAACAAGCCUGUAAUCGGUACGGGUUGUGGGAGCAAGAGCCCGGAGAUGGAUUCUGAGACACGAAUCCAGGCCCUACGGGGCGCAGCAGGCGCGAAAACUUUACAAUGCGGGAAACCGUGAUAAGGGAACUCCGAGUGCCCGUUAAAUCGGGCUGUCCACCAGUUUAAAUAACUGGUGAAGAAAGGGCCGGGCAAGACCGGUGCCAGCCGCCGCGGUAAUACCGGCGGCUCGAGUGGUGGCCACUAUUACUGGGCUUAAAGCGUUCGUAGCUGGUCUGUUAAGUCUCUGGGGAAAUCUGCCGGCUUAACCGGCAGGCGUCUCAGGGAUACUGGCAGACUAGGGACCGGGAGAGGUGAGGGGUACUCCAGGGGUAGGAGUGAAAUCCUGUAAUCCUUGGGGGACCACCUGUGGCGAAGGCGCCUCACCAGAACGGCUCCGACAGUGAGGGACGAAAGCUGGGGGAGCAAACCGGAUUAGAUACCCGGGUAGUCCCAGCUGUAAACGAUGCGCGUUAGGUGUAUCGGUGACCACGAGUCACCGAGGUGCCGAAGAGAAAUCGUGA
rnacentral:rRNA from 1 species